AUUGAACGCUGGCGGCAGGCCUAACACAUGCAAGUCGAACGAGUGGCGGACGGGUGAGUAAUGUCUGGGAAACUGCCUGAUGGAGGGGGAUAACUACUGGAAACGGUAGCUAAUACCGCAUACCAUCGGAUGUGCCCAGAUGGGAUUAGCUAGUAGGUGGGGUAAAGGCUCACCUAGGCGACGCUCCCUAGCUGGGCUGUGAGGAUGACCCGCCACACGUGAACUGAGACACGGCCCAGACUCCUACGGUAGGCAUCAGUGGGGAAUAUUGCACAAUGGGCGCAAGCCGGAUACAGCCAGGCCGCUUGUAUGAAGAAGGCCUUCGGGUUUUAAAGUACUUUCAGCGGGGAGGCGUUACCCGCAGAAGAAGCACCGGCUAACUCCGGGCCAGCAGCCGCGGUAAUAC
rnacentral:rRNA from 1 species